GUUAGAGGCGCCCACAGUUUUGAUUUGAAAGCAAAAUCAAAGAGAGCGAGCGAGAGUGAGAGACAGAGCCAAGGAUGAGCUCCAAAGAGAAUUGCCGGAACGAGCUUCGAACUGCGAUUCGUCAGCUCAGUGAUCGUUGCCUCUACGCCGCCUCCAAAUGGGCGGCAGAACAGCUGGUGGGUAUUGAGCAAGACCCAGCAAAGUUCACUCCUGCAAACACCAGAUUCCAACGAGGAAGCUCAAGCAUCCGCCGCAGAUUCCAUACCAAUGAGAGCACUUCAACACCGAUUUCUGGUGUGUUGUAUGUAUCUACUCCAGUAAUGGAGGAAGAUGAGGUCGUGGAUGGUGACUUUUACCUUUUGGCCAAAACAUAUUUUGAUUGCCGAGAGUACAGAAGGGCUGCACACGUGCUCCGGGAUCAGAUUGGAAAGAAAUCCGUGUUCUUGCGCUGCUAUGCUCUUUAUCUGGCUGGAGAAAAGCGGAAAGAGGAAGAAAUGAUAGAGCUGGAGGGGCCCUUAGGUAAGAGUGAUGCUGUUAACCGUGAAAUAGCUGCUCUGGAGAGGGAGUUAUCGACACUUAGAAAGAAUGGCACAAUUGAUCCUUUUGGAUUAUACUUGUAUGGCCUUGUGCUCAAAGAGAAAGGCAGUGAGAAUCUUGCUCGUAUUGUUCUUGUGGAAUCUGUGAAUAGCUACCCUUGGAACUGGAGUGCCUGGUCAGAGUUGCAGUCCUUAUGCACUACAGUUGACAUUUUGAACAGCCUUAAUCUCAAUAGCCAUUGGAUGAAGGACUUCUUUCUUGCCAGCGCAUACCAAGAGCUAAGGAUGCAAAAUGAAGCCUUGGCAAAAUAUGAAUAUCUGCAGAGUAUUUUCAGUUUUAGCAAUUACAUUCAGGCUCAAAUUGCAAAAGCCAAAUAUAGUUUAAGGGAAUUUGAACAGGUUGAAGCAAUUUUUGAAGAACUUCUAAGGAAUGACCCUUAUCGAGUUGAAGACAUGGAUAUGUAUUCCAACGUGCUUUAUGCAAAAGAGUGUUUUUCUGCCCUGAGUUACCUGGCCCAUAGGGUAUUUAUGACUGAUAAAUAUAGACCUGAAUCUUGUUGCAUUAUUGGCAACUAUUACAGUUUAAAAGGGCAGCAUGAGAAGUCAGUUGUUUAUUUUAAAAGGGCACUCAAAUUGAAUAAAAACUAUUUGUCUGCUUGGACACUUAUGGGUCAUGAGUUUGUUGAAAUGAAGAAUACUCCAGCUGCUGUUGAUGCCUAUCGGCGUGCUGUAGAUAUAAAUCCAUGUGAUUAUCGAGCAUGGUAUGGAUUAGGACAAGCUUAUGAGAUGAUGGGCAUGCCCUUCUAUGCUCUUCAUUACUUCAAGAAAUCUGUUUUCUUGCAGCCAAAUGACUCUCGAUUGUGGAUUGCCAUGGCUCAUUGUUAUGAAACUGAACAGCUUAGCAUGCUCGAGGAAGCAGUCAAGUGUUACAAAAGGGCAGUUAAUUGUAAUGACAGGGAAGCAAUUGCACUACACCAGCUAGCAAAGCUACACUGCGAGCUAGGACAACUUGAAGAGGCAGCUUUUUACUACAAGAAGGAUUUGGAAAGGAUGGAAACUGAAGAGAGGGAAGGACCAAAUAUGGUUGAAGCUUUGCUUUUUCUAGCUCAAUACUACAGAGGCCAAAAGAGAUUUGAAGAUGCUGAGGUUUAUUGCACCCGACUUCUGGACUACACUGGCCCAGAAAAGGAAACAGCAAAGAAUAUACUACGAGGAAUGAGACUAGGACAAUCUAGUUUCCCUUCUAUGGAUGUUGAACACUUUCCUCCCUGAAGUUGUCUCCCUACUGCACAUUAAAUGUACGCCUCUGCUUCUGCCAGUUUCGGGCUAAUGGAAAUCAACAGCCAAAGAGAAGGCUUGGAAGGGAUUUACAUGAGCCGAUCAAGAUACCAGGAUGUGGGCCCGUCCAUGGAAUUGACCUUGUAGACGCUCUUCAUGACAGGAAAAGCGAGUCCUACAAGUGGGCUAUUCACACGACCAAGAGAUUUUCUCUUGCUUCUGGGAUCAUAGUCAACAGCUCCAUGGAUUUGGAACCAGUUGCUUUCGAUGCUUUGAAAGAAAAAAGUGCUGCUUGGUAACUCCCCUGUUUACCCUGUUGGACCUCUGAUACAAAGAGCUUCCAUUAAUGUCGAUGAUGGGUCUGAGUGGUUGAGAUGGUUGGAAAAUCAGCCAAAUGGGUCAUUGUUGUUGGCGUCGUUUGGAAGUAGUGGGAAACUAUCAACUGAGCAGUUAAACGAGUUGGCGAAGGGAUUGAAAUUCAGUGGGCAGAGGUUUCUUUGGGUAGUGAGAAGCCCCCAUGAAAAAGCCUCAGAUAUCGGCUUUUACAGUGAAGAAAUAAGCUGCAUUGGCAAUGCCUAUGGUUUUUUGCCAAAAGGGUUUGCAGAGAGGACAAAAGGAGUCGGGCUUUUGGUGCCAAACUGAGCUCCUCAGGUGGAGAUUUUAAGCCAUGGUUCAACUGGAGGAUUCCGAAGCCAUUGUGGGUGGAACUUAUUACUGGAAAGCAUCGUUCAUGAAGUGCCUUUGAUUGCAUGGCCACUUUUUGCAUAGCAAAAGAUGAACGCAGUGUUGGUGGCUGAUGAUCUGAAAGUGGAACUGAGAGUCAAAAUGAAUGAGAAAGGGCUAGUUGGGCACCAAGAUACUGCAAAGUAUGCAAGGGAAGUGAUUGAAGGAGAAGAAGGGGAAUUGAUUAGGAAGAGCAUUAAACAGCUCAAGGAAGCAGCAAGAUUGGGUGUGAGUGAUCAAGGGUCUUCUACAAAAUCUCUUGCAGAGGUUGCUCAAAUAUGGAACGCUACUUAAUAUUGAAUAAAAGGGAUAAUCUUUUUGGUUACAGAAUGGUUUGAAUUAGCAUUGCAUACUAAUUCCCCAUGAGUUCUUGCUACUGCAAACUUUUGCCUCAUAUGUAUACAAAUCAGCAAGACGAAUAAAGGCAAACGAAAUG